rnacentral:tRNA from 1 species
AGUAAAAUGGCUGAAUUAGGUAAUAAAUUGUAAAUUUAUUUAUGAAAUGGAAAUUUCUUUUACU